CCUCACAGAUGGAGAAACCAAGCCGGCUCCGGAAGUGUUGACCAAGGGCGGUGGGGCAGCAGUUCCCAUGAGCAAAUAUUGACACAUUUCCUGGCCAUUAAAGCAGAAAGCCAGACUGAAAGAGGACAUUCUGUCUCUUCUCUGCAAAGCUUCGAAACAUCCUUACCCCACUCAAGGCCUCAGUUUCCCCACCUGCAACAAGAUAAUAGCAGAGGAUGUGACCAGGAUCCCAGUUAUCUGAGCCCUAUGGAGAAUGAGGCACUCCCUGGAGCCGCUUUACAGUGGACUCCCCGAGAGCUUGAGGGUUACCAGCAGCAGGAAGAGGCUUUGUCAGGAGUACGCUUUGCUCACCUCUAAGGGGUCCCUUACAACACAGCCCAGGGUC
rnacentral:lncRNA from 1 species